AUGCUGUGUUGUUAUUGGUGUAGCCGCUGGAGAGGAAAGAGCAGAGGAUGUCUUGGGGGCUUGAUCAUUUUAUCUGUCUGUGCAGGGAUGGCAAGGCAGAUUGAAGGUGGUCACGGCCAUCUCACAGAGAUGGUGCAAGCUGUCAAGAAUCACGGUGCUGGGGCACUACACUUCGCCUCCGGGUGCAAGAUGGCGGAAGUGUGCGAGUACCUGUUGAGGUUGUCCAGGUGGACGUGGAUGCUGUUGACCAAGCAGGUAGAACACCUAUGGUUUGGGCAAUCACUGCUGAUAAAAUUGGGGCAUUGUGAAAUAGUAGAACUCUUGCUCUCUAGGGGUGCUUAUGUCGAUCUAUUUUAUAUGGAUCAUGGGACUCCAUUGCAUGAUAAACAUAAGCAGGAUGUAACCGUGAAGAUUUUUUUGGAUCACAUGUAG
rnacentral:rRNA from 1 species